UACGUAGGGUGCGAGCGUUAAUCGGAAUUACUGGGCGUAAAGCGUGCGCAGGCGGUGAUGUAAGACCGAUGUGAAAUCCCCGGGCUUAACCUGGGAACUGCAUUGGUGACUGCAUUGCUGGAGUAUGGCAGAGGGGGGUGGAAUUCCACGUGUAGCAGUGAAAUGCGUAGAGAUGUGGAGGAACACCGAUGGCGAAGGCAGCCCCCUGGGCCAAUACUGACUCUACAUGACACGA
rnacentral:rRNA from 1 species